AACAGCUACAACAAAACAGCCGAUCGUUGGAUCAGGUCCAAUUUUACCUUUUGGACCUCGAGCAACAACCAAAGAUCAUGUCUGUGAUAAGAUGGGACUUCUUAUGGAUCUAGCUUCAGGCAAAAGUGUAACCAUGCAAAACGCUAAAACCUGUGGUGGUAAAUCGUCUGACGCAGUAAUCCUCAAACACUGCCAUUCUCCAAUAUUUUCAAAAUGGAAGAAAGGAAUACAGGUGAACAGUCAUUGCAGUCAAUUGAAACAUUAUAUACCUAUAGCUAAAUGGACAGGUCAUGGAUUCAGUGAUACAAUUGGUAUUUUAGUAUCCUGCCAAAAUGGUGUAAUUGAG